AGUAUAGAUAUCUCAAAUCUACUGUUGAGAAAAUAUUUUACAUAGGAAUUAAAUUCUUAACCAGUUUUUAACAGCGUAAAUUCAGAACACUCAGAGUUACCGUUUGUCUGCUUUUGUUUCCUGUCUGUUCUCUGUGCCGCCCUCUUUUCUCUUGUCCUAGUGUCUACACUUGGGCAGCUGCCGAUGGCCGCUCUGCCAACCUUGGCCUCCUGAGAAUAGUUAGAGCCAAGACCCUAAAGAAGCACAAAUGAGUCUGGAACUUGAGGGGGCAUAUAACACAGAAGCUCCUGAAAGAGAGAGAGAGAGAGAGAGAGAGAGAGAGAGAGAGAGAAAGGCCCAUUUCAACAGUGUUUGCAGAAGUGGAGGACCAGAGAUGCCCAAGUCUCUUCGUCCUAAAUUCUGUUUUUAUUGAUGCAUACAGCUGUAAAAUGAGCUUAAAUUUUGUUUCUUAUUCUGACAUGGCUAAGGAAACUUAAUAAUACUUCUAUAUUAGACUUACUGUUAUCGCGUCUCAGCCUUUUGACUAAGAUCAAGUGUAGACUUAUUGUUCUUCAAAAUUAAUACUCAAGACAGCCAAAUCAGUGAAACAAGACCAGUAAGGUGAAGCUCCAUGGCUGUCGUUUAACCUUGGCCAUUUUUUCCCUGUCCAUUUAAAUGGCCUAGAACUCCCACUCUUAGAGUUGGUUUGGCCACAUGCUCAACACUCAUGAGGUUUUAGGCACCAUGCACUUUUGCUCAUUUGGACCCCUUCCUUAGAGAAUUUAAAAUUAUGUUUUAUAAUUGUGUUUUAUAACAUGACAGUAUUCACAUUUUAAUUAAAAUAUUCUUUUAAUUUAAAAAUUGGGUUAUUUUUCCUAAUAAAAUUAAGUAAAACGUUUGUUACACACCCUUUAAAAUUCUGAGUCUAGAUUGUGCCUGUGUUCUGAGAGGGUUGUUGGAGAAUGCAGACAGUGUUCUCCCUCCCUUACCACCACUCCGUUAUUUAUUGCCACUCCAGCCAGGGGUACUGCAGCUCCUACUAUCACAGGCCUGCACAUCUGAACUUCAUUCUUUCCCAUCCUAGCCAGAACUCAGUAUGGCUUAGAUCAUUCAUGGGAGGUGGGGAGUGCAGCAGCUAGAAAUCAGUAGAUAGGAAUUUUACUUUGGUUCCUACUUUUACAGCCUGUGUCUCACCUUCCCUUUUCUCUCAAACCCUCAUAUUCAUCCAUUCUCACAGCCCAUGAGUCUAAGAGCUUUCUGUCAUUUGCUGAAAGUACUUAAGCAGGCCCAUUCAGGACAUCCCGCAGUUGUUUAUGGUUUAGCAUUGGCCCGGGCGUCUCCACAGAAUGUUCCUCCUCAGGCUGGGGUAGGUGAGGUCUGUGACAUGCAGACUGUAAGCACAUGCAGUCGCUUCAUUUCUCAGGACAGAGAAAAUGGCAGCCUUGGCUUUCCAGUGAAAGCCAUCUACUGCCCUUAGUCUGCCUUCCCCGGGUGUGUUGCCGAGUCCUGGCGGAAGGAGCUGGAGAAGCCGAUAGAACCUGUAUGCGCUCUGCUCUGGCUCUGCUCUGUUGCUGCCCUUAGUCUGCCUUCCCCAGGUGUGUUGCUGCCCUUAGUCUGCCUUCCCCGGCUGUGUUGCUGAGUCCUGGCGGAAGGAGCUGGAGAAGCGGAUAGAACCUGUAUGCGCUCUGCUCUGGCUCUGCUCUGGUGCCAGCAGAAGGCACCCACACACACUCACAGUUUGCCAGCAGACAUCCCAUGUGGGUUUCUUCUCAUCAGUAGGGGAAGUGGCCACCCAAAUUUCCCUUGUUCUUCUUUACCAGCCAGGCACUCAGUCUGGUGUCACGUGACGCGGCACAGAGGAAAGCCGCUUCUCAGAAGUCUGAGAAAAGCACACACAUUGUGAUGAACAUGUACUCUAUCAGCAUUAUCAAACUUAACAAAGAAACUUCAUCUCUAGAACUGCAUCUCAAGCUUCCUGUUUGUUAAUAUGCUCUUAUGACAAUAUAUUUUGUAAUGUAUCCAGAGAAAUCAGAAUAGUGUGAUAUCCUUAUUUCCUGACCUUUUCUGAAAAAGUUUUAUGCAUGCUUUCAUUUCCUAUAACUUUGCUUCUGGUAUCUCUUUUACCUUAUUAUUACCCCACCAAAUCAGAAGGAAAUAAAAGCAUCCAAGAGGAACUUAAAAGGUUCUAAAUGAAACUAAACUUUAAACCUGAAAUUAAUUCACAGCAUCCAGGUAACUUAUUUUUGUCCUUUGCUGAUUCUGUCAUAUAUUCAUGUGACUUCCUGGGGAAAUGCCUGGUUUGUUGUCUCGGAGGAUCCUAGUAGCUUUUGAAGAAUUUGUUAAAUACUUUCUCACAGUUCAUAUUUCCUGUUUUAUAUAAUAUCAUAAAAUUGAGACCUGAGUGGUGGUGCACACCUUUAAUCCCAGAACUCAGAGGCAGAGGCAGGAGGAUCUCUACAGUUUGAGGUUAGCCUGGAACAAGACUGCUUAGUAAGACCCUAUCUUAAAAAUCAACAAAAUGUCUGUUUCAGCAUGAGUUCUAAAAUUGUAAUUAGAUUUUAUUUAGCCUGAUUUAUGUAAAUAAGUCUUUUAUAUUGCCUUUAAAUGUAUAGAUUGGAGUUAACUUGCACAGUUGUAUUGUAUAUAAGAUAUUGCAUGACCAUUAAUGAACUUGUUGCUGUUUUCCCACAAUGUUAACAGUUUUGUGAAUUUUUCACUAUGCAUUUACAGUGUUCUAUAACAAUGACUUAAAACUAUUUUAUACAUUUAAACAUUACGUUAUAUUGUAUAUAUCUACUUAAAGAGUAUUGUAAAUGUCAGUGUUUAUAAAAUUAUGACUUUCCCCAAAAUAUAAACUCAUCUUUCCAAACUAACUUGUGACAUAUUACAAAUACCGAUUUUAAGCUUUGACAUAUUAUCUUGUAGUGAAAGCUAAGAAGAAACAUGCUGUCAAGUAAAUGUAAGCAAAAUUUGAAAAUAAAUUUGAUGUCUUUGU
rnacentral:lncRNA from 1 species